UAAAAAUCAAAUUAUUUAGUAUACAGCCCACCAAUCAUAUAUAAUCAUUAAAAAUCAAAUCAAAUUAUUUAUAAUACAACCUACCAAACAUUUAAUAUACAAUCAACCAACCACCAUAAGAAUACAAACAUUAAAAAUCAAAUUAUUUACAAAAUUUAUAGAGGUUCCAAAUCUAAACUAUAAAACAUAGAAAAUACAAAAUCUACAACUCAUCAUCCGCAUCUUCAAUCUCAGCAUCACCCAUUCUAUUAUCAAUAUUUCGUUGACAUUGGCAGUUAUAAUCAGGUUCCAUCUACACAAUCAAUCGCAUUCAAGUAAUUAGUUCAAGUCACAAAAGCUCACAUUUCAAAUAUUUACACCUAAACAUUUUCAAGUCACUAAUUCAAUUAACAAGUUACCAAACUAAACUAAAUUAAAAUGAAAAGUUCACGUUUCCGGUACCUACACUUAAACAUUUUGAAGUCACUAAUUCACUUCUAAAGAAACCACUGUUGCGCCCCGUUUUCCUCGCGGAAGGCGGGAUUCGACGUGAUAGACUCUUUUUGGGAUGCAUUUAAAAGGGUGUGAAGAUUCGCCACCUAACGUAUUAAGGUGCGUUAGGGCACCGGUCUAAGAUACUACGAACCUAUUUUUUGUUAUUUAGUCUUAAUUCACCAGAGCUCGGGUAAGGGUUCAAAUUACCUCAAAAGGAAGGUGUUAGGCACCUUUUGAGGUCCACAAAGGUGGUUCCCGACCAAAUUCAUGCUUUACAUGGGGAUUCUAUGUGAUCAAAUAAAGUCUCUUAUUUUAUCAUUAAUUUAAUGUUUAGCUAAGCGAUAAAAUAAUUAAUAAGUAAACAUAUGUCAUUUUGUUAAAAUUCUAAUUGUCAAUUAUCUAGGUGAUAAAGACAAAUAAAACAUGUAAAUAAGAUAAGCGAGGAGAAAAAAGGCAAGACAAUUUAUGAUAAAGGGGACUGUUCAUGUAAUAAACUAACUACCCUAAAUAAACAUAUAAAGUAAACAAAAAGACUAGAAAGAAAUCGUCCAAAUCAAAGGAAUGGUUUGGUUUUAUUCGGAUCAGAAACUCAACUUGUUAAUCAUCAUCCGACCCAAGAGCCGAAACUUAAUAUGUCGAAAUUAAUUAAAAUUCCUAAACCAGGAUUUCUAGGUGGCCAAGUAAGUAAAUUAAUAGAUUUUAAGUCGCGUUUUGCCUAAGUGCUUCGUAUAGCACAUAAUACAUGUAAAGAUUCUAAAUUGUACCUACUACGCCGUUCAUAGAGCACAUAAUCCCCGCCCCUAAAGCAGUACCCAAAAUUAUAUUAUUACAUCGAUAAUAAUGUCUUUACACGAUAUUACAAAUCAAAUAAUAAGAAAGUAUACUCAAGCUAAUGUAAUCUAAUUAUACAACUAAUCUGGUGACUCUUCGAAAUCCGUAGUUCUCUACUUAAACCAGUGAUUAGCAGUAAGAGAGCUAAAUAAUAAUAGAAGCCAAAAGCCAAGUAUACGUAAUAGCGAGAUAUGCAAGAUGUUAACAACAACCUCCAAAGAGAAACAAAAGCACUUAAAAAUAUUUAAUUGCCUUUGUAAAAAAAUAGCCAAUUAUUUUUGUUAAGAGUAGUAGUAGUAAUUGUAAUUGUGAGACUUGAGAACUUUUCACUAUCCCUUUUUGUGAAUGAAGGGAUGAGUUUAUAUAGUGUUUAAGAAAUCAGUCAUCCGAGACAAAAUAGGAAAAAAAAUAUUCCACCCCUCUAAUUACUGAAGUCUUUCCCAUAAAUAAAAGAAUUGAUAUUAUACCGAAUCAAUUAAAGUAAUACAAGAAAGAGGGAAAAAAUUAAUUGAGUAAUAUGUUCACCAUAAUAGAGGGAGUUUAAAAUAUGGUAAAUGUAUAUUUAAUAAAGAAAAUUAGCAAAUCGACUCAAUCAAUUAUUUUCAGUUACCAUAAAUAAAUGAGUAAAAUGAAGGUAAUGAUUUUAAGAGAACAAAUAACAAAACAUGCAUCAACGUCGAUAGUUUUCAUAACAGAAAAUAUCAUCCCGUCAUAUCAGGUUCAUUCAAAUCAAGCAAAUGAUUUAUACCAUAACUUCAGGAUGUAAAGGAAAUGAGCCACAAAAAUUACCAAUGAGACACGUAAAUCCUACCCUAAUUACAGGGUGUGGAAAUUGGCCUUAAAAUCAUAUCAAAGUCAGUCCUAAAAUCAUAUCAAGCAGACGUAUAAAUCAUGCUAUAGUCAGGAAAAAAGAGAGUCGUUCACGGAGACGAUUUCCACUGCAAUCAAUCAAGUAAAUAGGGUAGUGAACCUAGGAGGAGAAAUUUACUACAAGUCUAGCCACAAUUGGGAUUUAAACAGUUUGCCAAAGGCUUGCACGCAUAUGGGUUUAAGAAAUUACUAGAACUAGUCCACAAAUUCGCGAAAUUUCAAACGUAAAAAAAUAGAUCAGAAGAUAAUAACAUGCAAAUAAAGAUGAGAUACCAAACCUCGGACGGAUUCUUGAGAAUCCAUCAAGAACAUGUAUUUUCUAGAGCGGGUAGAGGAGGCUGUUGAUGACGGUAUGGAGGCAUGGCUCAUCGGAGGACGGGCUGGUGUCGUUGAUGUUGUCGUUGGCGGCGUGAAGGGUUGAACGGAGGGAGGCAGAUCUGGUGCUGAUGAAGGAGGGGCGUGGCGCCAUGGAUGGCGUCGGAGUCCAUGGCUGGUGUGGCGUAGGCGUUCUCUGGCGGGCAGCGACUGAGCAGGAGGCAGUGACACACCUGUUUUGCUGGUGACGACGCCGGUGAUGGCGUUGGUUCGUCGAAAAAAAAAGGAGUGCGGG
rnacentral:lncRNA from 1 species